rnacentral:lncRNA from 1 species
AUUCUAUUGAUAAGGUAGGCAGCUACUAGAAUGACAUCCCCCAAUAAGGUUUUGGUAAAUUCAUAGUAAACAUUAGAGAUCUCGCCACUUCUAGCAAAUGCCUAUUUUUCCUUUCAUAUAGAAUGGCAUCCCCCAAUAAGGUUUUGGUAAAUUCAUAGUAAAGAUUAGAGAUCUCGCUACUUCUAGCAAAUGCCUAUUUUUCCUUUCAGCAACCCCAUUUUGUGCACUAGUAUAAGGACAACUAGUUUGAUGUAUUAUCCCAAAAGACUCCAAAUACGCACCAAAAUCUUUACCUGUAAUUCUUUGCCAUUGUCAGUUCGUAAGAUUUUUAUCUUAACAUCAAAUUGGGUACAAAUCAUCUUAUGAAACGACUGAAAACAGGAGAAGACUUCAUUUUUUGCCUUUAACAAAUAUACCCAGGUCAUUCUAGUGCAACAAUCAAUAAAAGUAACAAAC